UACGUAGGGGCCUAGCGUUGUCCGGAAUUACUGGGCGUAAAGGGCUCGUAGGUGGCCAACUAAGUCAGACGUGAAAUCCCUCAGCUUAACUGGGGAACUGCGUCUGAUACUGGAUGGCUUGAGUUUGGGAGAGGGAUGCGGAAUUCCAGGUGUAGCGGUGAAAUGCGUAGAUAUCUGGAGGAACACCGGUGGCGAAGGCGGCAUCCUGGACCGAUACUGACGCUGAGGAGCGAAAGCCAGGGGAGCAAACGGG
rnacentral:rRNA from 1 species